UCCCCUUCAUGGAGAUUAAAAGUUUCCCAGUGCUGUUUUCAGCUCUGCAGAGCAAGUAAAAGAUAAUCUCCUGCUUGGAUAUCCUCGUGCUACUGCGAUCCACUAAUAGGAUCACCAUCCAGUUUUGACUUAACAGGCACCGGGAGAGGAUAAUCCUGUUUAUUCGGUCAUCCAAAGCACUGAUGAUGAUCUGAGAUAAUCGGUGGCUGAGAGCAGCGAGGAGGGAUGCGCGAGGUCCUCCAUGCCUGGAUGGAUGAGUCAGAUGCUCAGCACUGCAGCCCCAAUGCGAUGUGGAGAAAGCCCCAACCAUCCUCACUAAGAAGACAGAAACCAACCAGGUGUUUGGGGCCCUGAAGGUGCGAUUUUCAUGUGUGGCUGUUUGAUGAGCCCUGAAGGGCAGAAUUCUUGCUCUCCAACCUUCCUUCCUCUGCACCCGAAGAGUCAGCACUGAACACUGUGCUCCUCCUGACGGUGCUUCAGGGCUCCUCGUGCAGAGCUCCAUGCUGCAGCACAGCCCUAAAGGCAAAGGCACAUCUGUGCUGAAGGCACCGCUGCUGCACUCCAGCCCCCAGAUUGAAGUAGUGGCUGCACUGCUCCAAAGGCACCACGUGUGUUGUGCAUGUAGCACCAUUUCCGUAUUGGUGUUGGAAAGAAAGAAGAGGUGUUGUAUGCUGGCUGCAGACAGCUGCGGCUCUGAGAAUCCCUUCUAAAGAGACAGCAAGAGUUACCCAGAAUGAGCAAGGCUUCUGGCACUCGCUCAAGGAUUACAGAGGUUUUGCAGGGUGACAGCAGUUCUGCAAUCAGCCCGCAGGGAGCAGCAGAGCGGUACCGGGCUGCUUUCCUCCCGGAGCCCCUCGGGGCUGGCAGCGCCUAGCGAUGCAUCUGCAGAACCCCAGGAGGGAGUGCGCGUCCCCACCGCCCUGAGGGCAUCACGCCGUGCCGCAGCGGGGCUGUCCUGCGGCAGCAUCCGAGCAGGGCGAGAUCUCAUGUGACAGCCGCUGCCCUGCACAGCAGCAGCAUGGGACCAGCAGGAGAGCACUGGCUGUGUGGCUUCACAAGAAUGCAAUGUUUGGAUGGCGCUGGGGCUCUGGUAGCAUUUGUUUCCACCCACCUUCUCCAGUUUGCUCCAUGAAAGCCCUUGGCUGAGCUCCUGCAUGGGGCUGUGGGACAGCGAUGGGAGGAGCUGGAGCUGGAGCUGGAGCUGGAGCUGGAGCUGGAGCUGGAGCUGGAGAAUGGAGCAGGAGCCUCAGGAGUCGCUUGGGGCUGAAGAGCGAGGAGAAGCUCGUUUGUUAUGCAAAUAUCUGCUUCGGCCUGGCCUGGCAUAGGCAGUGGAAAGCUCUUGAAUUAUUUUAAGCAGAGGACAAAAGUUCUUUCCCUCCCCCAAUCAUCUUGGAUCCUUGUUAAAACAAAACAAAACAGAAACCUCUGUGUGAACCAUCUGAGGAUGAUCAGCGCUCUGCUUUCCUGGCAGGAGUGGUGUGGCCAGGAGAGCACAGGCACAGGGAAAUAGAACAAUUAAGACAAAAGAAUGUAUUGGAGGCAGACAGGCUUUAUUUUGUUCUGAUAACAGUAAUAACGAAGCACCCUCCAGCCUUAUCACCACCAGCAUGCUAGGGGCAGGCAGGCCACUGGGGGACAGGGCCAUCCCUGGGCCACCUGCAGGGAGGACACGGGGCAGCCAUUCCAGGGAGCCACUUGGGAUGGCUGGUUUUAUGGCUGGUUUGGUGGGUGGCUGGGUUAGAUGGCUGGUUUGGGUGCUUGAAACACAACUCAAGGAGCCACCCAUGCGUGUCUUAGAGGACAGGGCCAUCCCACCACGGCACGAUGCGGGAGCAGGUGUGCAUUUAAUGGCUGCUGAGAUACAGUGCUGCAUUUCCAUACAGCCCUGUGCUGCUGCUCGAAUGGCUGCUGGCUGCUCUCAGGCCAUGCAUGGCACCCAUAGGGGGGGACACACAGAGCUGCGGGGACGCACUCACAGGCAGGGCUGGAUUUUGGGGAUACUAGCACAGCAGAAGGGGCUGGAAGGACACAAGGUGUCUGUGCCCUGGAUAAGAGUCCAGUAGCUGGCUCCCAGGAUCACCCAAACACUGGGUGCUGUGGGCCAGCUGCAGUUUGGCCACUGAGAGAGGAGCUGGGUCUGCAGUGCAGCAGUGUGUGGGCCACAUUUUCCUGUCUAUGUGAGCUGCUUCAUUUCCUAAAUGCAGAAAUUCUGAACUACACAAAGCAGCUGCUCUCAUGGGCCUUUUAAAAAGUUAGAAAAUUUGUGUGGGCAUUGCAAUGUUUAUUUUCUUUGAAGGCAUUUCUAACCUUCCAUUAAGAAAGGUUAGAUAGAAAUUGAAACUCUGCCUUUAAAGAUGACAUGCUAGAAGCAGCACAGAAGCAUAAGCAAAUCAGGAGAGAUUUGGAGCGUGUGCCUAAAAUCCACUGUGGGGGGAUACAUUCUCUUAAAGCUUGUCAGUGCUGCUGCAAGCUCAAGGCCUGCGGUGCUGCACAAUGCCCAGCUGGCACCACGGGGGUUAAGGCUGUGCGCCUGCAGCACAGAGCACUGGAGCUGUCCUGCCCAAGGCAGGAUGCUGGCAUCGUCCCCUCACUCUUCUCCCCGGUGUCACACAGCUGCCAGUGCACCCCAGCAAACACGACCCAUUCUCCCUGAGCAGCGCUGGGAGCAGAGGGAGAGGGAAAAGGAGGCGACGGCAGCGAGGGGAAGGUUGAACUUUCAUGCAGUGUUGUUUUUUGGUGCUGGAGACAGGCUGUGCAUGGAGCAGGGCCCUCCUCCAGCUCCCCCACGCUUUGCUGGGGCUCUCCGCUUUGU